GAUCUUUGUCUACCUGUGGCCUCCCAAGGGGCACAUGAAGCUGCCUAAGAGGGAAGUACUCAUCCAGAUGCAAGGUGGACAAAAGCAAUGGCACAGGUCUUCAGGCUGCCCUGCUGAGGUUUCCCAAGUAUCUCCAGGAGGGCCAGGAUACAUGAGUUCUUGCAAAUCCUUUCAAGCAAGUCUACGUUUGGUAUGGUUUUGCUUGUACCUGAUUCUGGUGAAUAACAGUAAAAGCUGGGGAAUGUGUGAAGAGGAUCUGAUGUUGCACUCUGAAGGCAGAACUAUGAAGAGAGAGUUUCAAGUAUCCAGCUUUUUUCACAGUGCUGUGACUAACUCUCCAUUUUAAAAAGCUUAUCUGGAUGUUGCCAAGGACACUUCUACUUCCUGGAUUGCUUUGCCUUUGGUGGAACAGGACGGAGUAGCUACGCUGCAUCAUUCAGGCAGAACAUGGUAUAGCUAAAAGCCAGUAUUGGUAGUUCUGCUCUUCCAAACGUUAAAAUGUAGAAAGGUGCUACAUUUUACAGAAAUAAAGGGGUAAAUGAAUUGGGGGGAAAAAAAAGAAAAACUUUCAUGCAUAAUUACAUAGAAAUUCUAUGUGUAAAAAGAAGCAUGAAUUGACCAUUCUAUUGACCUCCAGUAGAAUUUUCUGUUAGCUAAGAUCUAUGUAUUAAAGCCAAAGCCCAUCCCAGAUUCAUCCAUCAGUCCUGCUUGCGGAGUUUUACUGUAAUGAUUCAUUCAGGAUUUCAACUUUUGGAGAUGACUACUUAGUACUUUUGGCUUAGAUUUUUACUGCUUGUAAAGCUUGGUGUAUAGGCUUAUCAUUUCAGAAAUAACAUGAACUAGGUUAUGAGAUCAUUGUGAAAGAUUCUUCAUUAACUGUCAUACAACGCUCAUGG
rnacentral:lncRNA from 1 species